rnacentral:tRNA from 1 species
GCCCGAGUGGUGGAAUGGUAGACACGAUGGAUUCAAAAUCCAUUGCCGCGAGGCGUGCCGGUUCAAGUCCGGCCUCGGGUACCA